rnacentral:lncRNA from 1 species
CUUGACCUUUCAAAUAUCACAAGGUCAAGGUCAUAGUAUAAUGUGAAGGUCAAGGUGAAAUUUCAUCAUGACCUGACAUUGACCUCAAAUUGAAGGUCUUGAACUACUGAUCAUCUUUCAGUCUAUAGUAGGUUGAUAUCUGUUACCUUUAAAAAGAUAUACACACAAUACUAUACUUUUAAGAAUCAUCCCGUCGUAACUUUUGAACAGGACGGUCGGACUCUUUUGAGCUCAGUGUAUAAAAUGUAGAGCUCUUCGAGAGGAACAUUUUAUACGCUGUAAGUAUGCAGCAAACUCUUAUCGUUUUCUUAAUAUGAAAGCUUAAAAUUGCAGCUUAAUUUUUUUUUGCACUCGAUGACCUUUGACCUUGGGUGCAAAUUAAAGGUCAUAUGAACUUAAGAUUAUUGGUGUAGGUCCCAAGUCUUUACGACUUCCGGUUCUCGAGAUACAAUUUUUCAAAAAUUGUGUAUAUUUUUUUCAAGGGAAAUAACUCCUUAUAAGGGUUAACAACAAAAUGAUUGUACAUGUUAAUUAACAUUGCCAUCUGGUCUUGUACAUGUUGCCGUUUUCAAAUGGAUUCUAUCUUGAAUACUUUUUGAGAAAAAUGUAAAAAAAAGAAAUUGCUUCAAGGGGACGUAACUCUCAUAGGGAACGACGAAAUCCUUAGCAGCCUCAUAUGGUAACACAUCAUGAUGAGAUCUAACUAUUGUCUAAAUAAAGUCAUGAUAUCUUCAAAAACAACGAGGGGGGGCCAUGUCGAAAAAAAACAAUAAAAGGGAGAUAACUUCUAAAGGGGAUGAUGAAAUCCUACACAGCCUCAUCUGGUAAUACCUCAUAAUGAGGUCUACGAUGGUCCAUAUUUGGUCUUGAUAACUCCAAUAGAAACGAGGGGAGGCCAUGUCAAACAAAUGCUGGAUGAAAAAAAAAAAAAAACAUGCGAAAAACAAUAAGGUCUUUCCUCGGGAAGAGGAAAGACCUUAACAAUAAGGUCUUUCCUCGCGGAGAGGAAAGACCUUAACAAUA